rnacentral:rRNA from 1 species
GACGAACCGUCCAAACGUUAUUCGGAAUCACUGGGCUUACAGAGUUCGUAGGCGGUCUGGAAAGUUGGGUGUGAAAUCCCUCGGCUCAACCGAGGAACUGCGCUCAAAACUACCCGACUCGAGGGAGAUAGAGGAAAGCGGAACUGAUGGUGGAGCGGUGAAAUGCGUUGAUAUCAUCAGGAACACCGGUGGCGAAGGCGGCUUUCUGGGUCUUACCUGACGCUGAGGAGCGAAAGCAUGGGGAGCGAACAGG